rnacentral:lncRNA from 1 species
CCACACAAAUACAAGGCAUGGCAAGUGUAAUCGAAUCAACAUUCACAAUUCAAAUGAAUUGAAAUUUAAAUGAAAAAGAAACGCACCAAACAUUAAAAUGAAUGUCAAAACAAAAGCUGGCCAUGAACCACCGCUGACCACCGCGCCGGAGGUUGCUUCCGGCAGUGGUGGUGCCAUAAAAAGAAAAUCAAGAUCAUCAUCUGAAACGCAUGACCACGUUAAGCAAGGAUAUGUCAAUGAAAUUAUGUAACUCUCACUAAGGAGCUCGAAUCGAAGAUGAACAGGUCAAGAACCCUAGUGGUUGAUAGUUAAAUUAAAUGACAUCUACAAGGAAUCAAGCCCAAGACCUUAGGGAUUUGAUUCCUCUGGUGAAGGCUCGCAUGGUGGUAACUAGAAAACUGAAGUAUUCGAGGGAUUUGGAAGUUUCCUCGCCGAAGAAGAAAACCAGAAAAUGUGUUUCAGGUGAGUUCUUUCCUUCUUCUUUGUCUUUUCUGUCUCGAUUUCUCCUCUCCUUCUUUGUUCUUAUUCUGGAAAUGUGGAUGAGUGAAUGAGUUCCUCGAGAGUGAUGUUUUGAGAUAGAAGUUAAUGGAGGUUCUUCGGUGAGAAUCAAUGAAGAUGGUGUUGAGUUCUCAGGGAUUAAAGGUGAUUGAUUCAGAGAUGAUAAAUUUCUGAGAUUUUGUAAUUUUUAGAGAUUUUGGAGGAUGAAGAAUUUCUGAUUAUGAUUAUGCAAUGAUUGACUUUUGGUAAAACGAUCCUCCCCAAUGAUUGUGUGAUGAUUAACUUAUAUAAGUUAAGACCUUGGGGAUUUGUGCAUUCAGUUGGAAAAGUUUGUUGCAACUGAAAUCGAUGGCAAGCGGUUAUGAUAACUGUUUUGGAUUUUGAUGAAUUCGAUGAAUUCCAGAUGGAAAUGAUUGGUUAAUGAAUGAUGAUGUGGCACUCCAGAUGGAAAUGAUUGGUUAAUGAAUGAUGAUGUGGCACUGAGUCAGUUGGUCAUAGUGUUAGGGUUAGUUAGUGAUAGUUGCAAUGACUGCUUUUGUGAAUUUUUUUAAUAGGUGUGUUUAUGAACUUGUUAUUGUUGAAUUAUUUUGUGUUUGGCAAUGUUUGAUCUGGUUCACAUUGCAAAUUUGUUGUAUGGACAGGGUUUGUUGAAGGUUAAUUAUUUGGUCCUGAUGGUUGUGUAUUUGGUUCAUGGUCCAUGGCAGGUUCAUGCGAUGUGUAGGUCGGCAUGUUGCAGGCACGGUGUUUGCUACAAGUCUUGGUGGAUUGUUUAUACUGUUGCAAGGUUCCUGGCCUGAUCCAUUUGCAUGUCCAUUUGCAGGUCUACUUGGUUCAUGACCUGGUUGGUUUUGGUCAUGAACAUGAGCAUGUACCAUGUUACUUGUCAAUGAAGAAAUCAAAGGCAAACAUGGACUUUGGUGAUGGAUCAAUACAAGAUAAGAUGGAAUUAGGUCUUAGGGGGUCAGUUGACUUUGAUCAACUGGUUGACCAAAAAUUCAAUUGUUGAUCAAAAGUCAAUUGUUGUAGCUUUUGGUUAAACUUGUCAUUUUUUGUAUGGACAUGGACUUUUUUGUAAUGAAAUGAACAUUUGGUGAAUGAAAAUGACAUUUGUAAUGAAUUGAAUUGAAAUGAAUUUGAAUGAAUUGGUAUUGAUAUUGUAUGGAAA